GACGACACAGCUAGGCUGCGCAUGCUGAUCGACAGCAGCGGACCAAUACAUCAAACGACGUUGUUCGACGAUCUAAAGACGGUCCCUCCAGCACCUCGCUAACGAAGCUACAGGAUGCGUUGGAAUCUCGCCAAGAAGACGACAUGUUAUCAUGAUAUCUACCUAGCACGUCGACACAGACAUGUGUCCAAAACGUUGUCGCCAAUGCUCACAACAGUUUGCGAUUGGGUCGAGUGCAGCCCUAGUGCAGCGUUCCAAGGAAGGCCUCCGCACGUCACAGCAGCAGCUAGGAGUCAUGAUGGUCGCUGAAGGACUGCUAAUUUGGACUGCUAAUGCACUCAGCAUAUUAGCAUUUGCAAAUUGACUGACCGCGGAUAUAGC
rnacentral:lncRNA from 1 species